CCGAGCUGUGGGGGGAGCCGCCGGACCGCCGCCAUGGCGUGCGGGGCCACCCUGAAGCGGCCCAUGGAGUUCGAGGCGGCCUUGCUGAGCCCGGGCUCCCCGAAGCGGCGGCGGUGCGCGCCCCUCGCCCUCGCCCUGCCCCUGCCCAACGCCGCCGCCGCCGCCGCCGCCCUCCGCGAGCCGGGCCCGGACCCGCCUCAGCCAUCGUCGCCGCCGCUGCCGCCGCCGCCGCCGCCUCAACCGACCACGGCCGACAGGCGCCUCCCGACGCCCGAGCAAAUAUUUUGGAACAUUAAACAAGAAUAUAGUCGUUAUCAGAGACGAAGACAGUUGGAGGGUGUUAAUCAGAGUGACGCUUGUGCUCCUGAGAGUCAUUCUCACUGUUCAAUACUUACAGCACCUAGUUCACCAGGUUCACCGUGGGUGAAGAAAGACCAGCCAACGUUCACCUUACGGCAGGUUGGAAUUUUGUGCGAGCGUCUGCUGAAAGACUAUGAAGACAGGAUCCGAGAGGAAUACGAGCAGAUCCUCAAUACAAAGCUAGCAGUGCUCUGCCUCUUCCCCUCACAGAACAAUACGAAUCUUUUGUGAAAUUCACACACGAUCAGAUCAUGCGACGAUACGGGGCCCGCCCAACAAGCUAUGUGUCCUGAAGGUUUCUUGGACAUCUGGGUACCUGGCUUGACCUCAAGAGAUGGCUGCUGUACAAUUUUGCAACUGGUUUGUUAUCACAUUUCAGCUCCAACUUUUUCCAUUCUGAGAACACUUUAACGUCUCUGCCGGUCCAUUUUUAUCUAACUUGAAAGACCUUGAAACGUUUCAGUUGCCACAACUUUCUCUUCUGACAAUAUAAUAAACUAUACUUGUUCCCUGCCGUGCUCUGUACCCCUAAAAAACAACAAAAACAUAUAUGGAGCAGCACCCUAACAAAUUACGCCUGUAGCGGCCCGAAGAGUGGAAAACGUUCCCCGGGUUCUGUAAGCGGUAUGUGUUGUUUUUUGGGGGGGUUUUGUUGUUUUGUUUUUUUUUUAAGUUAUUAUCUGUGUUGUGCAAACUUUUUGAUCUUGGGGAUCCUGGCUGUGAAGUUGAUGCACUACAGUGGUGGUGAGGAAUGCUGUUUGGUUCAGAAAGGAUAUUAAGGAUCGUCCUAGUGACCCUAUGACUUUGUAACAGUGGAUCGUUGUUUGUAUAGGUAUUGUUCGAUAGAGGGAUUCCUUUCAGGCACAGACCGUUCAUUGUAACUUCAGAUUGGCCAGAGAUGUAAACUGAGGACAGAGAGAGAUUUUUAGGGUCUUAGAUCCCACAUGCGGCAUGGAAUUAGUACAAACCAGAAGAGUCGUUGAACCUACGGGCUCCGCUUGACCGCGUUUAAAGCAUCCUGGGACUCCAAGCCUUAAAAAUAUUCACCGGAGUCCACAGCUCACUGUGCCACCGGCUUCUUCUCUCACCUAAACGGUAGUGAUUUCCAAGCGACGUUUCCGACCCCCGCAAAGGAAAAACCUUCCCCAAGAGCCGUGGACUUUUGGUUGUCCGUGCACCGGACGGCAGAGGGGAAAGGGGCGACGGUCCCGUCCCCCGACUGACGACAGACCCACCCAGGAGUCGGCAAGGAUAGGACCGUAGAUCCCGUGUUCCCAGUGUUUGGUCACUUUCUUUCACAUUCUUCCAAGGUGGUUAAAUGCUUGGCUGCUUGAACUUUCUUCUCCCGCAAUGCCCUCUCCUAAGUUGAUAACAUGCUGUUCUUCUCCUUUGAAUUUCUAAGGCUGAGGAACAGAAAGUAACCUCUGUUUUGAGGAGGUGGAAGUUCAGUGUACAGGACUUGUGGUGUUUUUUGUUUUGUUGUUUUUUUUUUACUGUGACUUUGUCAAGGACCAUAUUCUACAACGAUGCCUUUUGUUUCCUGAUUGUUUCCCUCUAGGAAAGUUAUAUUAAAAUCGUUUUUAGUUUAAGCAUAGGAUAGUAUUUUAAAUUAGGACUUGUCCUGAAAAGUAUCGAGUUCAGUGAGAAGGAAGGCCGUGGCCUUUCUGGGCAGGGCCUUAUUUGGGAAAUGACUGUUCUUUUGAUCAGCUGGCGUAAAGACGACUUUGAAACUAGUCCCAUCUGCAGCUGCCUAUUGAUGAAUGUCUCCGACUUAAAUCUAACCAAAAACUGCAAUGGUAUUCUUUGUACAUUUUCAUUAUAUAGUGUUAAGCUGAGUUGCAACCAUUAAAAUACUUAAGCUAUUUG